CAAUAGCGUAUAUUAAAGUUGUUGCAGUUAAAAAGCUCGUAGUUGGAUUUGUGGCGUACGGUGUGUUCCGGGCACUUGUUGUCUGAGUAACCUGCUGUUGCCAUCCUUGGGUGGAACCUGUGUGGCAUUAGGUUGUCGUGCAGGGGAUGCCCAUCAUUUACUGUGAAAAAAUUAGAGUGUUCAAAGCAGGCUUAUGCCGUUGAAUAUAUUAGCAUGGAAUAAUGAGAUAGGACUUUUUUGCUAUUUUGUUGGUUUGCGCAAAGAGGUAGUGAUUAAUAGGGACAGUUGGGGGUAUUCGUAUUCCAUUGUCAGAGGUGAAAUUCUUGGAUUUUUGGAAGACGAACUACUGCGAAAGCAUUUACCAAGGAUGUUUUCAUUAA
rnacentral:rRNA from 1 species